UACGUAGGUGGAAAGCGUUGUGCGGCAUUAUUGGGCGUAAAGGUCUCGUAGGCGGUUUCUUAAGUCUGAUGUGAAAGCCCCCGGCUCAACCGGGGAGGGUCAUUGGAAACUGGGGAACUUGAGUGCAGAAGAGGAGAGUGGAAUUCCACGUGUAGCGGUGAAAUGCGUAGAGAUGUGGAGGAACACCAGUGGCGAAGGCGACUCUCUGGUCUGUAACUGACGCCGAGGAGCGAAAGCGUGGGGAGCGAACAGG
rnacentral:misc_RNA from 1 species